UGUGGCUCAGAGGUAGAGCACUCGCCUAACAUGUGUGAGGCACUGGGUUCGAUCCUCAGCA
rnacentral:tRNA from 1 species